UGAGGAACAUGACUUUCGGCGGGGGAUAGCCGGCCCAACGGCCGGGUAAUACCGCGUACGACCUUUUGGGGACAUCCCCGAUUGGUGAAAGCAGCAAUGCGCCGAAAGAGUGCCUCGCGGCCUAUCAGCUAGUUGGUGGGGUAAUGGCUCACCAAGGCGACGACGGGUAGCUGGUCUGAGAGGAUGGCCAGCCGCAUUGGGACUGAGACACGGCCCAGACUCCUACGGGAGCAG
rnacentral:rRNA from 1 species